UCUAAUGUGGCAGAAUAGUGCUAUGAAUUUAAGCUUCAUGAAUAAAGACCCCCCCUUUCUUUAGAA
rnacentral:tRNA from 1 species